AAAUGUUGUAACAUACCUACUCAAUUGGGUUCAGAUCGGGUGACUGACUUGGACACUCAAGAAUUGAUAUUUUUUUAGCUUUGAAAACCUCCUUUGUUGUUUUAGCAGCAUGUUUGGGAUCAUUGUCUUGCUGUAGAAUGAACCGCCGGCCAAUGAGGUUUGAGGCAUGUGUUUGAACUUGAGCAGAUAGGAUGAGUCUGUCCACUUCAGAAUUCAUUAUGCUACUACCAUCAGCAGUUGUAUCAUCAAUGAAGAUAAGUGAGCCAGUAUCUUCAGCAGCCAUACAUGCCCAG